UACGUAGGCAGCAAGCGUUGUUCGGAAUUACUGGGCGUAAAGAGUGUGUAGGCGGUGUUCUAAGUUUGUCGUGAAAUCUCCCGGCUUAACUGGGAGGGUGCGGCGAAAACUGGAAUGCUAGAGGAUGGGAGAGGUAAGCGGAAUUCCUGGUGUAGCGGUGAAAUGCGUAGAUAUCGGAAGGAACACCAGUGGCGAAAGCGGCUUCCUGGUCCAGCACCGACGUCAGGCACGAAAGCGUGGGGAGCAAACAGG
rnacentral:rRNA from 1 species